CCGACAGAUAUAGACCAAUCAAGAACAGGAGAGAGAAACAGUUAACCAAAAGGAAAAAGGAAGCUCGAAACCUCCUCUUCUCCAUCGCAGACUGCGAUAUCCCCCUUCCCGAUCAGAUUUCUGGCAGCCAAACCACCGAAGCGAGGUGGCGAUCAACUUGCUGGACACCGGUGACCUCAGUUCCGGCCUCCCUUUUGCCGAUUGGAGCUUGACUAGGACUAAUAGAUGCUCUUUCUCCUGUGGUGCCGCUAGCCUCCUCCGACCCGCUUUUCCGACUUCUGGCGAGUCCCAAUCGGCAAGACUGCUAUCGGGAUGCUCCUCUCUUGCAGCUGACUCUUUCCUUCUCAACGAACAGACCUCCAAUAGCGCAAAUCGAAGCUGUGAGGAUUAGACAGCUUCCUUUCUUUGAUUUUUCGGCAAGCCAAGCCUUUCCGGUAGUCUCUUUUACUAAGAUGCUGUGAACAUUGGAUCCAUAUUCACUAAAAAGUCAUGGUUAUCAAGAAAACUCCAAAAGCCAUACCCAUUCCGAACCCAUCCUCUCCCAAACAAGGGAGAUGGUUUUGAAACUUAUUAAACCAUAUAAUUCCCUCUCAAAAUUACUCCCAAACAAAGGCUGAAACUGCAAUCCUGGGAAGAAGAAGAAGGAGCUGAGAGGAGAAAAGGAAACAGUAGGAGAAGAGGAGAAAACAAAAUGGAGGGAAGACUAAAAUACUUGUCAUUUAUUGGUGCUGGGGCUCUUUUGGGCUCUGUUUCUACUGUGGUUCUUCUCAAGCAUCUUCCAAGAAAGAUUGUUGGCAAAAGCAGCGAAAAGGCUAUGGAAUUAAAUGGGAAAGGACAUGAAUCAAUGUCACUUGGAAGAUGCUCAGUCACUCAAGAUAUGGAUUGUAUGGUUCCUGGUCCUGACCUUUUAAGUGAUGAAAUAGUUUCUGAACAACUGACCAGGAACAUCCAAUUCUUUGGCCUCGAUUCUCAAUGCAAGGUAGCUGCAUCCUAUGUUGUUGUCAUUGGUCUUGGAGGCGUUGGGAGUCAUGCUGCUUCUAUGCUUCUGAGGUCGGGAAUUGGGAAGCUUCUCCUUGUAGACUUUGAUCAGGUUUCUCUUUCAUCCUUAAAUCGACAUGCUGUUGCAACACGAGCAGAUGUUGGUAUUCCUAAAGCUGAGUGCCUCAAGAAGCAUUUCUCAUCGAUCUUUCCAGAGUGCCAUAUAGGAGCAAAAGUACUAUUAUAUGAUACAGCAUCUGAGGAGGAAAUUCUUUCAGGCAACCCUGACUUUGUUUUGGAUUGUAUUGAUAACAUUGAUACAAAGGUGGCACUUCUUGCUGCAUGUGUACGUAGGGGUUUGAAGGUUAUAUCUGCAACUGGAGCUGGUGCUAGAGCUGACCCAACAAGAAUCCGUGUGGCUGAUUUAAGAGAGUCAACAAAUGACCCAUUAUCUCGAUCCGUAAGACACCGUCUGAGGAAAGAUUAUGGCAUUGAUAGUGGCAUCCCUGUUGUCUUCUCCCUUGAAAAACCUAAAGCCAAGCUGCUUCCAUUCAAGGGCCCAAGUGGAGAAGAUAAUCCUUCUGAUUAUCAGAUAGUUCCAGGUUUUAGGGUUCGCAUAAUACCUGUCCUGGGUACCAUCCCUGCGAUCUUUGGACAAGUCAUGGCCUCGUACGUUGUGACACAACUUGCUGGGUUGCAAGUUGAGAUGGAACCUAUUGUGAACUUUGAUUCGGAUCAUUACAGGAUGCUUCAUCAGCGUCUUGUUGAGCAUGAGGAAUCAUUAUAUGGGACAGCUAUGGAAGUGCAGGUAGACAUUGAUGAGGUGAAGUAUAUUGCAAAAGAGUUGUGGCAUGGGCGAAGUGCUAGGGAACAGUCUGCAAAAGAAGUUGGACGUGGAAUGUGGAGAUCCAUUAAUGAGUUAAUGCUUGUGAGUUCAAGUGAUAUUUUCAUCAAAUUCAUGGAUACUCGGUGGCAUUCCUGGAAGUCUAUAUGUUUCAAAGCUCAUAAAUGGUCUACUAAUCAAAUUGUUAACUGACAUGAUUUCCUCAAUAAAGUGGGAUAGGACAAAGCCAGCAUCAGUGUCAAACUUAAUUCUUUUAAAAUUUAAAGAGGCCGAUGAACAUGAAUCGAAGACACUGGAGGAUAUCAAGGAAAAGGAACAAGAAUUCUACGAGAGGGUCACAUCUGUUCUAAGGAAAGCUGAAUUGGAGUUUAGCUAGCGAGUUCUUUUGCAUUUGAGUAAGGUGCACGCAAAUCCAGAUGAAGAGAGGCCAGCUUUUCGAUAACAUGGAGUUCGACAUGAAUUUCAGGUUUAUGUUCCCCUUCCUGAUAUACCAAUAAGUAGCAUAAUGAUUUUGUUCAUGUUUGUGAAAGGUCAACCCAGAGUAUGUAAUAUUAAUGCGGCAUGUAAUCUGGGGAAAACUAAACUCAAAUCCUUGGGAGCCAAGGACACCGUGAGGCUAUAUGGAAUAGAAAUUGUUCUCUGAUCUCAGUUUUCAGGGGAAGGCAGUUAAAUUUUAUGGGUAUAUUAGAGAGCUUUCUUUACAUGGACAAAAAAAAUUUUCUCCUCAUUUGUGGAAUUUUUGAAAGGACAGGAAAAUGAUUUGAUGAUUUUGUAGGUUGGAUUUACUUCUGAAAAUAUGACAGUUGAAAGAAUCAAAUUGCAUUCCUGAAGGAUAUUUUUUGCUCCA